rnacentral:lncRNA from 1 species
AAUGAGGUUUCAGCUCCAUAUGCUCUCCGACUGUUUGGGUACAUAAAAACCCAUAAAACCCCGCCGACAAUAAGACUGAUGGUUGAUAAAAAGUCGUCGCCAGUAUAUGCGCUAGAGAAAGCUGUGGCCAAAUGGGUGGUGAGCCACCUAGUAGGAUACCAGUACACUGUUAAUUCAUCACUGGCGUUUUUAGACAAGCUUUUUGAAGUUGGCCCGCUCACCAAUGAGUCCCACACAGUCAUAGAUUUGGAUUCCCUGUACCCGUCAAUUGAACAUGCACCAGCGACCCUUAUGUUGUAUAGGUUUAUACUACAGCACCUCCCAAACUCAAGCGACUGCGCAGACCUUGUCAGAGAAGUCUGU